GCUUCGAUGGUGUAGUGGUAUCACACUCGUCUCACAUACUUCAUAAUGUGGGCAUCCACGAGAGGCCGCGGGAUCGAAGCCCGCUCGGAGUA